rnacentral:tRNA from 1 species
GCACUGGGUUAUUAGCUCAGUCAGUAGAGCUUGAGACUCUUUACUCUCAGGGUUGUGGGUUCAAGCCCCAUGUUGGGCA